GCGUGCUUGAAGUCUCUGGGGAGAGUGAAUUUAAACGGACGGCUAUCUGCUCAGGAUGUCAGUGUUUGUUUAAGCCACCAGCUUUCCUCGGGGCCGCAGCCUUGUACAAGCUCUCGCACGUUCCACAGAGGACCCAGGCUCUCAGUACUCCAGGGGCUCUCGCGCAGCCCGACCAGCGCGGCCGCCCCACCCAGCCCCCACUCGGUGGCGGGACUGCCGAGAUGCAUUCUGGGUACCAGGGCCGGAAGCAGGGCAGGAUGACGGCUGGUCAGGUGGGCAGACGGGGCAGCGGGAAGGGCCGCGGGCCCCGCUGAGGAGCUGAAGACGGACGGAACCCAGGAUGAGUUCCUCAGCUUUCCUACACAGGCGCCCAAACUGAAAACUGCGUAUUAGGGGAACAGAGCCUUCCCAGGUCGGCUCCCAAAGCCGCUCGACCACGCAGCCUUGCCCUCGUCGGAUGAGCCCCUUAAUUUGCACCACCUGUGAAUUAUUUGAGUAGAGUCGUCGGAGAAGUUUGGGACAGGAGCUCAAUGCAAGGGACUCCACGUUAUCCUCUAGAAACACCCCAUGACCUGGAACACAGCUGAGCCAACUUGGGCAAAACUGAUAGGGGUACAGAUUCAACACUGCUCAUUAUAUCUGGGUGAACUUAUCUUUGUUACCAUGUAAUCAAAGUGCAAGACGGUGUUUUUCUCAGUUUUCUGAAAGGAGUUGCAGCAAAACCCUUAUGAAGCCUUUACUCCUCCAUGUAUUUAGACUUGGCGGGAUCAGAGGGAGGAGAAUGGAAUGAAAACUUCAUAGUCCAAGGCAACUUUGUGGAUCAGAUGCUGUGGGCUGAAUCUUGGAGGAGGACAAGUCUAAGGUCUGGGUGGACUGAGGCAGAAGCUGUUCUCACCACCUGAGGAGUGGCCUGGUCUGUGGAUCCUUGGGUAGGUGAUGUCCAGUAGCCUGUUUAAGAUUUUCUGCAUUGUUAUUCUCUUGAAUAUCUCCUAACUUGUCUGUUGAUAGACAUACCAUCCUGAUCUCAGCCAUUCUUGAUGCUGUUAAUGCUCAGGGAGAAAGACAAUAGCCCAGAAAACUAGUUGUGAGUUGGCAAAUAAUGACCCACAGAAGGGAUGAGCUGUUGAGAACAAGAUGGCUGAUUAAUGUGGUGGGUGACAGCUAGGAUGGAUUUGUGUGAUGUGUAAGUAUCUCCAGAAAGAUUCAGAAAUAGUUGAGGGAGGAAAACUUCCCAAAGACUGGGCUUCUUGAAAUUCUGUAGAGUGGCUUCUCAGGCUGCUGGGUGCUAAAGACAAGAAUGACUCCUUACAGCUAAGGACAUGGGAGACAUGAAUUGCACACUCUAAGUCAUAUUCUUCCAGAGUUGCUUAUUUUUAACUUUGAUAUAUCCUGAUUGAAAUAGUCUGUUGCACUUUUUUCCCUCACUUAUCAUUUCUCACUUGGUGUUUUUAACUGACCACAGUUAACUGGCUUCUCUAAUUGAUCUGUGUGUUGCUCAUAAAGUGCGCCAUCAACCACUGCACCAGCGAAGUGCGGCCGAGUUGCCGAGGUCUGGCAGCCAGCUUCAGCGAUGCGGUGUGUGGGACUUGUGUGGGACUGGGACUUUGCCAAGUCCUGAAAGGCAGUCAGUGAUGUUCACUCACAAAAAUUCUAGCUGUGGUAAAGCAUUGCAUGGAAGAGUAAUUAGCAUGUGAUUUGGAAAGUGUUCCUUAAUUUAGAGUAGCUGUAUUGGUUUUUACAUAAAAGUGUCUUGUUGAGUGGACUCUGGGAAGAACACUUCAAACCAUAUGUCCUCUUAGAAAAUCACUGGUAAUUUGCACACAUUUGUAUUGUAUGGUUAUCAUACUGGUGAGUAAAGUGGAGAUGUAGUGACUGACCUGUACCCUCACCUUAAUGUGAGGAGGUUUGUUCUGUUUCAGGAUGAGGGAGGCCCAGGGCUGAGUGAGGUCCUUGCAUGUACAAAAGCCUCUGUGGAUACCUAGUUAAUCUCAAGAACCCCCUCUGCUUCAGUCAAUGACAUCUUCUGCUUCCCAGCAGAGGUUCAGUUUGAACUUUUUAUGGGCUCUGAUAACAGCUGGGGAUUCCUUUCCCCUUCUGUUUUCCUGCCACCCACAGCCUCCCAAGAGGCAGGAUAAAAGAGAAUGUCACCGCCUUUCC